rnacentral:rRNA from 1 species
UACGGGGGGGGCAAGCGUUGUUCGGAUUCAUUGGGCGUAAAGGGCGCGUAGGCGGCGGGGUAAGUCGGGUGUGAAAUCUCAGAGCUCAACUCUGAAACUGCACUCGAUACUGCUCUGCUUGAGGACUGGAGAGGAGACUGGAAUUCACGGUGUAGCAGUGAAAUGCGUAGAUAUCGUGAGGAAGACCAGUGGCGAAGGCGGGUCUCUGGACAGUUCCUGACGCUGAGGCGCGAAGGCCAGGGGAGCAAACGGG